CGCAGGCCGCGGCGGGUCGCGCAGGCGGGAAGGGGGACGGCCUCUGCAGUUACGCAGCGUUCCAGCCCAAUGCUGGCGGCAGGGAGAGGUCCCCGCGAUGCCUUUUCCCAGGACACUGAACUGUGAGAUAUCAGGAUGCAAAAGGUUGCUUUGCAAUUCACAGCUGAAAUAAAGAUGACUUCAGGACAGAGAGAUCCAUACACACAGAGGACUAUUCCCAAACCAAAAGCAUCCCUCCAUUUAACACAGCCCAAGAGAGGGCGAGGUAUCUGGUAUUCGCCAAGUCCAUUGCUGAGAAAAUGAAAACCAUGCUGGCCUCCCACAUCUUCGUGAUGGAUAACAGUUACUUCAGAGAAGCCAAGCCUAGCACAGACAAAGAGGAAAAGAAAGAGGCCAGGGUCUUCAGGCUGCUCAGAGCUUCAGAAGCUCGCAAUCACCUCGAAACCUGAGACUCCGCUAUCAGGAGCUGGGGAUGAGUUAAUCACCAGAGGAUCUCUCAGCAGGGAUCAGGCUGUAGCAGUGAGAGGAAGGGCUAAUGAAUGCAGUGUAUCAACCAGACUGGUUCAGCCUAUCCUGAAAUGUCACUUUUCAGAUGUUCUUUGUAUGAUUAGAACCAGGAAGAGCAGAAAUAAAAAGUACA